UGGGGAAUUUUGGACAAUGGGGGAAACCCUGCUCCAGCCAUCCCGCGUGUGCGAUGAAGGCCUUCGGGUUGUAAAGCACUUUUGGCAGGAAAGAAACGUCAUGGGUUAAUACCCCGUGAAACUGACGGUACCUGCAGAAUAAGCACCGGCUAACUACGUGCCAGCAGCCGCGGUAAUACGUAGGGUGCAAGCGUUAAUCGGAAUUACUGGGCGUAAAGCGUGCGCAGGCGGUUCGGAAAGAAAGAUGUGAAAUCCCAGAGCUCAACUCUGGAACUGCAUUUUUAACUACCGGGCUAGAGUGUGUCAGAGGGAGGUGGAAUUCCGCGUGUAGCAGUGAAAUGCGUAGAUAUGCGGAGGAACACCGAUGGCGAAGGCAGCCUCCUGGGAUAACACUGACGCUCAUGCACGAAAGCGUGGGGAGCAAACAGG
rnacentral:rRNA from 1 species